UAAAUAGUAAUUCCGCCGCAUUUUGCUCUCUUAUGUUACAAAAUACAUCUAGAUACUAUACGUUCUACGUAUAUGGCUCAAACUAUAUAUAUAAACCAUAUUCCAAAUUGUACUACUUUACAUAUCUCCAUAUAUCAAUCCACAGGUCUGCAGUUUCCAGACCAAUUACAAACUUACAAAUCACCUUUCCAACGGCUGAGACGGUCUCAAAGCCAGCUCGACAUCGUCAUCCCUUCUCUGAACGUCCACGGGAGCAAUGAAACAGUCACACGACAGCCCCGCCACGUCAAACGCCACGUCGUCAAUCGACCAUUCCU
rnacentral:lncRNA from 1 species